GUACCUAGUAGUUGGAGAAUGCCUGAAUCUAGAUCACAGUAGCAAAAGCUCGAUCAAUCUACUCUCAUACUUUGGCCCACCCUAUCGGUUAUUGCAUUAAAUAAAUCUGGGCCCAAAGAAGCCUAGGUCCAUAGGACCAUUCGUCCGGAUGAAAUCUUGAGCUCUCUAGAUUCAAUGCUGUCAAUGAAACGCCUUCCACCAUUUCUUUUGGGCCUCAUCUAUAUAGUUGAAGUCCUCAGCCACCAAUGAAAGAACUCCCUGGUCAGUCAAUAUAGCCAUCUCAUGUCAUAAUAUCUGUCUUUUUCUGUAAUUGGUACUAGCAUAUACAUGCAAUAAAGCCAAGAAAAUCCAUUCGCUUUAGUGAUAACCAUAAUAACAUGUUGGUUACAUUUGUGAAACACAUCAAUAUUAGUUACGCUAAUCCUCUAAGCCACAAUGAUCCCACCCAUGCC
rnacentral:lncRNA from 1 species